UACGGAGGGUGCAAGCGUUAUCCGGAAUUAUUGGGCGUAAAGCGUCCGCAGGUGGCUGUGUAAGUCUGCUGUCAAAGAGCAAAGCUCAACUUUGUAAAGGCAGUGGAAACUACACGGCUAGAGUGCGUUCGGGGCAGAGGGAAUUCCUGGUGUAGCGGUGAAAUGCGUAGAGAUCAGGAAGAACACCGGUGACGAAGGCGCUCUGCUAGGCCGCAACUGACACUGAGGGACGAAAGCUAGGGGAGCGAAUGGG
rnacentral:rRNA from 1 species